rnacentral:rRNA from 1 species
AGCUCCAAUAGCGUAUAUUAAAGUUGUUGCAGUUAAAAAGCUCGUAGUUGAAUUUCUGGUACGGUGCGCCUGGCCCGCUGCCGCAAGGUACGCGAGUGUCGGUGUGCGUCUGCCAUCUUUGUAGGGAAACUCCUCUUUACUGGGGAGUGGAACUACAUCUUUUACUUUGAAAAAAUUAGAGUGUUUAAAGCAGGCUUGCGCUAUGAAUACAUUAGCAUGGAAUAAUAAUUUAGGACUUCGUUUCUAUUUUGUUGGUUUCUAGGGAUGAAGUAAUGAUUGAUAGGGAUAGUUGGGGGUGCUAGUAUUCAUCGGCCAGAGGUGAAAUUCUUGGAUUCGAUGAAGACUAACUUAUGCGAAAGCAUUCACCAAGGAUGUCUUCU